GUAACACAUGGCUUUUUCCUUUAGGAAUGAGAGUGGGCUCCAGCCAGCCCUGCAGGAGCUACUUCCCCCUGUUCUUACUUAACCAGAGCCCCGGUUGGGCGCUUGGCCUAAUCACUCAUGAGCAGGAGCCAAGUUCAUCACUUCCUGACUCUUCAGCUUUGAACACCUUUGCAUCUUCAGUGAAACUUCUGGAUUUCCAGGUGACAAUCUCCAUCCUGGGCCUGUCUCAGUGGUGGAAAUAACAUGGCACGGAAUCACCCUGCGUUCCCCCAGGAGCACACCCCUGAAAGGUCCUGGCAUGUGUUCCCGGCCUCUGGACAUUUUCAGCCGUUAUACAGGAACACACCGAAAAUCAACUGUGCGCAUUUGGCCUGUAGACAAGAAAGUAACACCAAAACUUGAUGUUCCUGGCUAUGCAGACUCCUUGAGUGACGCCUGUGGGCAUAUUACAGAUGAGGAAGUGAAGCCCCAAGGCCCAGAAGAACUGGGAGGAUCGACACCACCCGGGUUGGGUGACCAAUCACCCAAUUUGCCUGCGACUGUCCCAGAAAACCUUCCCAGCAUAGCUGGGCACCCUCAUUGAAAGGAGGAGGCUGCACUGCUAAGGGGAGGAGGAGCACCUACAGAUUCAUGCACUGCCUUGCUGGGAAAGCCAAGGACACCCCUCCAUUGCAGGAUGUGCUCCCAGCAAUGCUGUUCUGGAGCCGUUGCUGAACACCCAAAAGAAGACCCAGGAAACUCUACAUCUACUGAGAACCUAUGGAGAAACAACCAACACUGCACGCACUGGGAGCCCCUGAAUUUAUUGUAUUUUCCUCAAGGUUAACAUAGCUUUUAACAUUUUACUUUUUUAAAAAAAUUUCUUUUAUUAUUUUUUAAAGAGAAAGGAUCUUGCUUUGUCACCCAGGCUGAUGCAAGCUCAGUGGUAUGAUCAUAGCUCACUACAGCCUUGAACUCCUGAGCUCAAACAAUCCUCCUACCUUCACCUCCCAAGGAGCUGGGACUACAGGCCCGUGCCACCACACCUGGCUCAUUUCUGUAUUGUAGAGAUGGGGGUCUUGUUAUGUUGCCCAGACUGGUCUCAAACUCCUGGCCUCAAGCAAUCCUCUUGCCUCAGCCUCCCAAAGUGUUAGGAUUACAGCUGUGAGCCACUAUGCCCAGCCAGCAUAGCUUUAAAAGUCCAAAAGGUGAAAUAAAACUAAAUCAUAAGAGGCAAAGUCCAUAUAAUUUGAUGUUCGCAUGCCAUAAUAUACACGAAAGUGUAUUUGCUAUGAAGACAAUAUAACCUCCAGGAUCCAUGCAUAGCAGAAAAGUGCCAUCUAACCAGGCUUAUUAGAAAAAUUGUAAUUCAUUUCCCAAAUCGCAAAUGUCUCCUGUGACCACAGGUCUACUCUCAACACAAAUGAGUAGACAGGGCAAACUUCUAGGAAAUGCAGUUGGUUAAUGCCUUCAAAAGAAUGAAUCAUUGGUCCAGGUGAGGCCACCUUGGCCCCCUGCACCUGAGUCUCCCUGAUGAAUGCUGAACAGAGGCCAGGAGGGCAGGUCGAUCACCCAAUUCCUGCCCUCCUAGGGCAGGCUUUCUUCAGAUUUGUUGUGGUUCUGUGAUAAAGCGUCAAGUGUAGGAAGGCUCUGGGAUCACCGGGCAUGGUAGUGAUAAUGAGACUGAGGGGAACGUGGUUUCCAACGUAGGACUCAGCCAAGGAACUCAGGGCCCAGCUUUCAGCCCGGGAGCAUCUUGUAAACGGCUCGGGGCAUCAAAACCUCAGAAAUGCCACAUAAAUAUUAAUUGCCUAGAACUUUCCAGGGUGGAUAAGGCAGGCCACACGACUCAGACUAAUCCAAGAAACAAUCAAAACCUGGACUUUUGAAUGCCCUUUGAAGCAGCUGACAGAUGGCUGAGACUGUGCGAGAAACACAAGCCCGGCUCCCGCCCUGGCUAGCACUUUACAGCCACGGUGACCUUUCCUCCAAGCAUGCCUGGGCCUCGCACGGCACCAACGCCCACGGCUUCAUCCAGGCCCGGCCUCUCUCUCUCCGUGGCCUGUGCAUUUCUCCCCACUUUCUUUCUCACAGCACAACUUCCUCUGUUCUUUCGGGCUAGUCAAAACUUAUUUUUUUUUUCCUUUCUGUAAGGCAGAGGAACGCAUUCUCAGAAGCCAAAAGUCCCAAUGUUAUUAUCUCCUCCGCUUGCUGGUUGUGGACCUCGGGCCAGCUUUCAGCAUCUCUGGGCCCCAGGCCCUUCAUGACUCUGCACAAGAUGGAGAGGGUAAAAGAAAAAGAUACAGAAACCAGUCACUGAGAUGACUUUUAUAAAGCAGUGAGUACAGAGUGUGGUCAUGGCCUUCACAGGAUCCCAGUCGGUGCAAUUCAAAAUGCAUGAAAGGCUCAAAUGAGAUAGACAAUCGUCUCCAACCUUAAUGUAAAGUCACUUGGAUAGCAAUGGAAAAUUGCAGAUUCAUAGGCUGAAAAAUGUGAUUCAAGAUACAGAUGUCCUAUGGACCUACAUUGAGAAACAGCUUUAGAAUCUCAGAAAUGUACCCUGGGAUCAGUAGAGUGACAGAGCUGAUCCCAAUCGCACUGCUUCAGACUCCUCCAGAGAGCCUUCCGAUGAUCAGCCCUUGAAAUCGGUGGCUGUCAUGUGUGUGGGGCAGACAGGAUGCCUCGGAGCUGCACUUCAAGAGCCAUCUUCAACAGAAUUUGUGCUCAUUUUUAUGACCCCUAUUUAGCCAUUCACCCCAAUUUCUUCACUUUUCCCUCAUUUUACAUAAGUACACACAUUCAUCAACACAUAAAUUCCACAGGAAUAAAAAAGCAUAAAGAAAACCAAAGAGCCUUAAGUAAUUUCUAAUUGCCCCUAUCCUGAGGAGAUGGCAUAAAACUUGCCAUAUCCCUUGCCAUCUGGGUAAGGAGACUUUUCUCCCCAGCAUCCAUGGGUGGGCUGUGCAUUCAAUGAUGACUGGCUAGCAUCUUUGCUGGCUGAUGUCUCAGGGCCACAUCACACAGCUAUGAAUGCCCCACCCUCACACUGGGACAAGCUCUGGGGAGCUGACCCAAGAGCCAUCACAAAUGGCCCCUGGGGAGCUCAGAGAGCCACCGAAUCAGUGGGCGCUCAGGCUGUUCUUGCACAGGGCAACAAAGUUGUGACCUCUGGGUGUCCACAGGGACUCAUCCCUCCAGGCAGUGCCUUUCACAGCAAGGCUGCCGGCCGGGUGUGGGGCCUCCUCCAUUCUCAGUGCCCCGAGGCUUCUGAGUGGGAGAUCUGGAGAGCUGUCUCCCUUCUCCAUUGUGCCAGCAGUCCUACAUGAGAGUAGCUUACCCAGCGUCUCCUGGGUUACCUGCUCUCUACGGAGCACACAGCUUGUGACCUGGGGAUGAGCACUUCUUGUGCCCAAACUGAUCCGUGUCUAAGUCCAGGCCCUGUGUGACCAAGCCAAGCGACUCACUCCUCUGAGCCUGGCCCACUUUAUAUAGAAAGUGAGGAUAAUCUUUAGCACCGAAUGCUUGGGUACAAGUGAAAACAUAAGCUUAGGAUCUGGAAAUAAUCACUCAGAAAAUAAAAUCUUUGCCGGGCGCAGUGGCUCACGCCUGUAAUCCCAGCACUUUGGGAGGCCGAGACAGGCGGAUCAUGAGGUCAGGAGAUCGAGACCAUCCUGGCUAACACAGUGAAACUCCAUCUCGACUAAAACCACAAAAAAUUAGCCGGGCGUGGUGGCGGGCGCCUGUAGUCCCAGCUACUCAGGAGGCUGAGGCAGGAGAAUGGCAUGAACCCGGGAGGCGGAGCUUGCAGUGAGCCGAGAUCGCGUCACUGCACUCCAACCUGGGCGACAGAGUGAGACUCCGUCUCAGAUAAAUAAAUAAAUAAAUAAAUAAAAUAAUAAAAUAAAAUAAAAUCUUUUUCCAACCUCCCAAUUAUUAGCAUAACUCCCCACACCCACUAGGAAUGGGCAGGGACGGAGGGUCAAUCCAUUACUGAAUCAUGUCAGAAUUGAAACACGUCUCAGAAGCCAUCUGGCCCAAGCAGCCCUUUAAUCUAGGAAUUCCAUUGCAGGGGCCAGGUGGGCAGUAAUGUGCAGACCAGCACAAGACCAAAAUGGAGAAGCCGGGGAAAUCCAGAAAGUGCAUGCUCUGCCCAAGGGACUUCAGAUUCCGUAACUGUCCAACAUUAGGCUGGAAUGCAAGCAUGUACGAGUGAAUGAAUGAAUGAAUGAAUGAAUGAAUGAAUGAAUGAAUAAGACUGGCGGCUUCCGUGCCAGCUGAGGGCCAUGAGUUUGUGAUGUGUGCUCUGUGGGGCCCCAAAUGGAUGAUCUUCCAUCCUCUCCAUGGACCAGUAGAAACUGUGGGUUAGGGUGGAACUGAGCUUGGGUUACAGUGGGGUUUAGAUUCCACCUGUCAUCAUCACCAAGGAGCUGAGGACUGGAGCUGGCACCUACCAUGCAGGAGGCUGACUUUCUCACCUGUGGACUGGAGCCUUCAUCUGCCACUCUGGUCAGCACAUGUGAGAGACACAGUGACGCCGGCUCUCUCUCAACCCACUCCCAUGUGACCGCCUCGCAGCUCCUGCCCACAGGCAAGCGUGUCCCUGGAUCUACGCUGCACCUCCAACCCUCUGGCCCCAUUGAAAUGCGCACACACAGUCGCCAUCACCUUUCUCAGUCUCGCAGCCCCUGUGCCGGAGCGGAUGGCGUCCAUCAAGGCUUGCCUUGCGUCUGCGGUGUUGCUGAGGGUGCCCG
rnacentral:lncRNA from 1 species